rnacentral:rRNA from 1 species
UACGGGGGGAGCAAGCGUUGUUCGGAUUUACUGGGCGUAAAGGGCGCGUAGGCGGCCAGCACAAGUCAGUUGUGAAAUCUCCGAGCUUAACUCGGAAAGGUCAACUGAUACUGUGCGGCUAGAGUGCGGAAGGGGCAACUGGAAUUCUUGGUGUAGCGGUGAAAUGCGUAGAGAUCCGGAAGAACACCGGUGGCGAAGGCGGUCUGCUGGGCAGUAGCUGACACUGAGGCGCGACAGCGUGGGGAGCAAACAGG